UUGGAGGGCAAGUCUGGUGCCAGCAGCCGCGGUAAUUCCAGCUCCAAUAGCGUAUAUUAAAGUUGUUGCAGUUAAAAAGCUCGUAGUUGAACUUCGGGGUCUACCCAUUGGUCAGGCUUAAUUGUCUGCACUGGUGAGAUGGAUCUCUACCUUCUGAGGAACUUUCAUGCCAUUUAUUUGGUGUGGUUGGAAAUCAGGACUGUUCCUUUGAAAAAAUUAGAGUGUUUAAAGCAGACUAUCGUCUGAAUACAUUAGCAUGGAAUAAUGAAAUAGGACGGACUGAUUCUAUUUCGUUGGUUUCUAGGAUCACCGUAAUGAUUAAUAGGGAUAGUUGGGGGCAUUAGUAUUCAAUUGUCAGAGGUGAAAUUCUUGGAUUUAUUGAAGACUAACUACUGCGAAAGCAUUUGCCAAGGAUGUUUUCAUUAAUCAAGAACGAAAGUUAGGGGAUCGAAGACGAUCAGAUACCGUCGUAGUCUUAACCAUAAACUAUGCCGACUAGGGAUCGGACGAAGUUAAUUUUAUAAUGACGCGUUCGGCGCCUUACGGGAAAC
rnacentral:rRNA from 1 species